rnacentral:rRNA from 1 species
ACAUGCAUGCAACAUAGCAUUAAUGAAUUGGAUCCCAUUAGAACUCCGCAGUUAAGCACGCUCGGGAUAGAGUAGUACUGGGAUGGGUGACCACUUCAGAAGUCCUAGUGUUUUACAUGCC